rnacentral:siRNA from 1 species
UGGAGGUGAUGACAAUUUCCCCA